rnacentral:lncRNA from 1 species
AGGGUGGGAGAGAGAAAGCAAAGCCCCAAACUUCACAACUGUGUGUUUGCUUUUUUUUUUUUCUUUCCAGGGAACAGAGGAGAAAGAAAUCAAGACAGGUAGAAGGAUCGGGACCAGGAGAGGGGCGAGGAAUCUAAUCAGGCAGGAGCCCCUUGCCGCCGCCACAACCGUGGCCGCUGCCUCUCGUCACCCCCACCCCCGGUCAGUCGUGGGGCGGCCGCGGAGGCGGCGCAGCGGGAGCUCCUGGCACCACAGCAGCCCAGUCCUCGGAGGGGAGGAGACCCCGGCGCAGCUGCCGCUUCUUACCUGGCUCUUCCAGGGCGGCCGCGAUGGGCAUGGCUCGGGGCCCGAGGAGGAACUGGCUCCUCCGGGGCGGAGCGGAGUGGGCGAGUGGGGAGGGCAAGCUUCCCGCCGCCCUCUCAACGGAGCGGCGCCAUUGACACCCACCGGGACUUUCAGUGCUGCCGCGGUACCGCCAUCCCGCUACCCUCCGCCCGCCGCCGCCACUGCCACCGCCGCCUCCGCCUCCUCCUCCUCCACGGAGAUUCCCCCCGCCCACUUCACACAUUCUCCCAUCAUGCAGCGGGGGAACCGCCGUCGCGGCCACGUCAUUUCCGGGCGCAAGGUGGCUGGGUCUGGUCCGGGCGGGCGAUGUGAGGAGGGACCCCUGGAGGGGAACCGGUGUCACAGAUGCUCUCGUCGAGUGCGGAGCCUUGCCCGCCAUUUUGGGUGCGGGCAAAAUUGCCCUUUUCUUGGUGUGGGGCGAGCCACUGAGGUAAGUGGAGAAAAGGUCUUCUUCCCUCCUUCGUCCCUGCCCCAGUAGUGUCCGAGGCCGACGAACGGUUCGGACGGUUAAUUGCAAGUAACGGCCAAAGCAGCCUCGAUACUGAGCCUCCUCUCCUCGACCGUCGCUGUCUCCGGGUAACACUGAUUGGAAAGGGGCCAUAAUCUUGUUCGGCCAACACUCUGGAGGACCUCAGAGAUCUCUAUUUCUCAGGAGUUUCCUCCUACCUUUCUUCCCUCUUGAUCCUGAGGCUAACCCUAGUCCCCUCCCCCACUCUUCCGCUGGGCUUCCCAAUCUCCACCCCGUUCACCUGCGGCUCUUCCAAAGGUGGUAAACCCGAUUUAGGAAGUCCCGGGGUUUUAACGGCCAAAGGGGAAGUCUGUUAUUGCCAGUUUACCCAAAUGCCAUAGGAGGGGUAAUAGGGGUUGGAGAGGCAUAGUUUUAAAAUUUAAGGACAGCGUGGAGUUGAUGCUUUUGUGGGUCUGGGUGAAUAAUCAAGGCAGCGACUUCACUCAGAGAUAUAAAUUGCGUGAAUUAUUGACGGAAACGUUAGUGAGGAGGGAAAACGACUCAAUUGAAAGGGGGAUAAGCGGGUUGUAUUCUUUAUUUAAAACUAUUUUUCUAAUAGAAGGAUCAUAAAAUACUGCUGCACUCUCAACGCCUAUCUUUUCUUCAGAGUACCCAGUUCCUUCAACAGAAUUAAUUACCUGGAUAUAUACAUGGAUUAUUGUAAUCAUGAAAAAUAAGCCUUCUUGUCUUAAUGAAAUGUGAUUUAAAAUCACAUUUAGUUGUGCUCAUUACAGUGUGUGAUCCAUCUGUUUCAACGAGUGUAAAUUAAUCUGAAUAAUUUAAGAUAUUUUCAAAAUUUCAAAGUAGAGCACUUACACAGAAGAGGCAACAAGAAAAAAUACCACUGCAUUACCUAAGGCUGUCCUUUGGUGUGAGAGAAAAGCACAAUACUAGCGCAUAAUGAUUUAUCCCCUCGUCUUCAAUCUAGUCACAUUGACUUAGAAAGGUAAAAAAGAAUAUUUGUCCCUGGCAACCUAGGCCUUGUAAGACAGAGAUUGCAUCACUAUAAAUUGAUGGACAAACAGAUUUAUUUUCCUGUUAUCAGAAUAGUGACAAAAAUUAUUAUACAGUAUCUAAUUUAUUCCUAUUGUAUUUUGCCCCCUGCUGGUUCAGCCAGUAUAUAUUCUUGCAUAUAACAUUUUACUACAGACUGAAAGGAAAUUUGAAAGAUUAGGGGAGAAACAAAGUAGAUUGCACAAAAGGUAGUAUGUGCAUUAAUUUAGAAGUUGUACUAAAUGGUAAUGUUCUGGAUAGAACAUAUGUAAAAGAAAUAUUAAUGUGAAUUAAAGUAUCAUCUAAUUAUCCUCUUUCAUCAGAAGAGGUUGCCAUCCAGAGAAAGGAAUAAGAUAGAUCAUGAAUUCAGAUCAUCUAAAGUUUAAUUUUGGGGAAAAUUUUGUUCUUGACCUCACCUAGCAUUAUAUUUAUGAUUACAAAAUGAAAAAUGUUUUAAAGUAUAUGAUUCUAAAGAACUGGAGGAAUUCCAUGUGAACUGGAACAACCUCCAGGAAUUGAUGCAGAACAAAAGGAGCAGAACCAGGAGAACAUUGAAAACAGACUGCUUAAUCGACUUCUUUACUAGCAGCAAUGCAAUGAUCCAGGACAAUUCUGAGGGACUUAUGAGAAAGAAUGCUAUUCACACCCAGAGAAAAAACUGUGUGAGUAGAAAUGCAGAAGAAAAACAUAUGAUCAUUCAUGUGGUUCGAUGGGGUUAUGAUUGGGGAUGUAGACUCUAAAUGAUCAUUCUAUUGCAAAUAUUAAUAAUAUGGAAAUAGACUUCAAACAACCCAGUGGAAUUGCUUGUUGGCUAUGGGAGGAGGGAGGGAGGGAAAGAACAUGAAUCAUGUAACCAUGGAAAAAUAUAAAUAAAUUAAAAAUAAAAACAAACA